CAAUCAGCAACAGGUGAGGGGUAAAAGGCUCAGGGAAACAGACAGGAAAAGGAACUAAAAUAGGAGGAACUAAAAUAAGAGUGCCGGACAGGAAACAAAUGACGUGACAGGUAGUCACAAUAAAUACAUAUACAGACUACACCGACUGCUCCGCCAUAUGCCUUACUGAGACUUGGCUGGACAAUACCGUGCCUGACGAAGCCAACCGGCUUCUUUCUCCAUCAACCCACAGCUCACAUUACUAAAAUAUUAGUGGGCACGAUGUCACGGCGCAUGCGCAAUCCCUCAUGCCAUCUGCAGCAAGCACUGCCAGCAGCUCUGCUAGGAGACUCCCGGGACACGCCCUGCACGCUCUUCCUGCAUCGCGGCCACGCGCCUGCACGGCUGCAGGAAAUAUCAACAAUCAGCGCACGUGGUUAUGGUGAGGGCAGACAGUAUAAAGACCAGGGGACCAGAAUAUCCAGUGCCGGAAUGGAAUUCACUCUCCGUAGUAAGCAUGACAUCUAUGGCUUCCCUCCUCGUACCUGCUCUCUGUGCCUUCCCUCUGCCCGUGUCUUAUAUGUUGUAUGUGUUCCCCGCAGUUUUCCCUCCGUAUCCUGUGAUCAAGCUGUGUGCCUCGUUCCCUUGGACUUCCCUCCGGACUUUGGACUGCUUCCCUCGAUCCUCAACCCUCGCUCGGACACGAAUCUCGACAUUUCUCUCCAGACCCUGACUUCUCGCUAUUCAUCCAACAGGCACGAACAACACCCUCUGGUAACAUUUACAUUAGUAAAUCUUCACAUCGUCUUGCACCAUAAACUCUUAGUAGUAUACACAUUCCAACACAU